UACGAGGGGGGCGAGCGUUGUUCGGAAUUAUUGGGCGUAAAGAGCUCGUAGGCGGUUUGUCGCGUCUGCCGUGAAAGUCCGGGGCUCAACUCCGGAUCUGCGGUGGGUACGGGCAGACUAGAGUGAUGUAGGGGAGACUGGAAUUCCUGGUGUAGCGGUGAAAUGCGUAGAUAUCUGGAGGAACACCGGUGGCGAAGGCGGCAUCCUGGACCAACACUGACACUGAGGAGCGAAAGCCAGGGGAGCAAACGGG
rnacentral:rRNA from 1 species